rnacentral:rRNA from 1 species
AUUGAACGCUGGCGGCAGGCCUAACACAUGCAAGUCGAGCGGAUGAGUGGAGCUUGCUCCAUGAUUCAGCGGCGGACGGGUGAGUAAUGCCUAGGAAUCUGCCUAUUAGUGGGGGACAACGUUUCGAAAGGAACGCUAAUACCGCAUACGUCCUACGGGAGAAAGCAGGGGACCUUCGGGCCUUGCGCUAAUAGAUGAGCCUAGGUCGGAUUAGCUAGUUGGGGAGGUAAUGGCUCACCAAGGCAACGAUCCGUAACUGGUCUGAGUGGAUGAUCAGUAACACUGGAACUGAGACACGUUCCAGACUCCUACGGGAGGCAGCAGUGGGGAAUAUUGGACAAUGGGCGAAAGCCUGAUCCAGCCAUGCCGCGUGUGUGAAGAAGGUCUUCGGAUUGUAAAGCACUUUAAGUUGGGAGGAAGGGUUGUACGUUAAUACCGUGCAAUUUUGACGUUACCGACAGAAUAAGCACCGGCUAACUCUGUGCCAGCAGCCGCCGUAA